rnacentral:tRNA from 1 species
GCGAGAGUGGUGGAACGGCAGACACGCCAGACUUAGGAUCUGGUGCCUUAAGGCGUAAGGGUUCAAGUCCCUUCUCUCGCA